AGAGCCAAAUAUAUGCUGAGAUUUUGAAGUGAAAAUACUCUCCCAAAGUUUAUUCAAGCACCCACCAUAUUUACUUCAUCUUUAAAACCUUCGAUUCUUCAUAUACUUCGUUAUAUACACAAGGUUUUAAACCCCGAGGCUUCGUACCACCCAACCUAGCCAAAUCUCGCCUAGCUCAUUUUCAUACCACUCUAUUUGUCCUCCUGAAGGGCUGCCCAAAGUUCGUGUGCAAAGCCAAAAUCCGGUCGAACCUCCGACGAAUUUUUCCGGCGAACUCUUUUGAGGUGAAGUGAAGUGAGGUGAUCUUCGUUCUAAGACCCAAGUCCUUGAUGUAUUGACGGAGAGUUAAUAGUCAUUGCACCGUGAAGAAGAGGAAAGACCCGAGAUCUAAUACCUAAGACCCGCUUUCAAGACAAGCUUUGUAGGUGUUUUUACAUUUAUAGUGAGGAGGUAACGGGAAGUUACGCUCCAAGAUAUAUAUUUGUAAAGGCUUCUCCGCCUACUUUAAAGGAGUAUCUUUA